GGUCGUAGACCCGAAACCAGGUGAUCUACCCUUGGUCAGGUUGAAGUUCAGGUAACACUGAAUGGAGGACCGAACCGACUUACGUUGAAAAGUGAGCGGAUGAACUGAGGGUAGCGGAGAAAUUCCAAUCGAACCUGGAGAUAGCUGGUUCUCUCCGAAAUAGCUUUAGGGCUAGCCUCAAGUGAUGAUUAUUGGAGGUAGAGCACUGUUUGGACGAGGGGCCCCUCUCGGGUUACCGAAUUCAGACAAACUCCGAAUGCCAAUUAAUUUAACUUGGGAGUCAGAACAUGGGUGAUAAGGUCCGUGUUCGAAAGGGAAACAGCCCAGACCACCAGCUAAGGUCCCAAAAUAUAUGUUAAGUGGAAAAGGAUGUGGCGUUGCCCAGACAACUAGGAUGUUGGCUUAGAAGCAGCCAUCAUUUAAAGAGUGCGUAAUAGCUCACUAGUCGAGUGACACUGCGCCGAAAAUGUACCGGGGCUAAACAUAUUACCGAAGCUGUGGAUUGUCCUUUGGACAAUGGUAGGAGAGCGUUCUAAGGGCGUUGAAGCAUGAUCGUAAGGACAUGUGGAGCGCUUAGAAGUGAGAAUGCCGGUGUGAGUAGCGAAAGACGGGUGAGAAUCCCGUCCACCGAUUGACUAAGGUUUCCAGAGGAAGGCUCGUCCGCUCUGGGUUAGUCGGGUCCUAAGCUGAGGCCGACAGGCGUAGGCGAUGGAUAACAGGUUGAUAUUCCUGUACCACCUAUAAUCGUUUUAAUCGAUGGGGGGACGCAGUAGGAUAGGCGAAGCGUGCGAUUGGAUUGCACGUCUAAGCAGUAAGGCUGAGUAUUAGGCAAAUCCGGUACUCGUUAAGGCUGAGC
rnacentral:rRNA from 1 species